ensembl:snRNA U6 U6 spliceosomal RNA
GUGCUUGCUUCAGCAGCACAUAUACUAAAAUUGGAAUGAUGCAGAGAAGAUUAGCAUGGCCCCUGCACAAGAAUGACACACAAAUUCAUGAAGCGUUUCAUAUUUUU